rnacentral:rRNA from 1 species
CACCGCGGUUAUACGAGAGACCCAAGCUGAUAGAUGUCGGCGUAAAGAGUGGUUAAGUAUCUUAAUAGAACUAAAGCCGAACGCCCUCAAGACUGUUAUACGUUUCCGAAGGUAUGAAGCUCAACUACGAAAGUAACUUUAACUAUAUCUGAUUCCACGAAAGCUGUGAAA